rnacentral:lncRNA from 1 species
CUGGAAUCAUCAUAUCAAUCAUAUUAUCUGCUAUUAAAUCAUCCGUUAGUGGCUGAUCACUUGCAUUGUUCAUCAUCAACACAUCGAUAACAUCUUUAGGUACAUUCAUAUUAGACAUGCCACCAUCCCUCUUAGAUUGAAUAAUCUCUUGUAUCAACCUAGCCAUCUUCUUCUUUGCCUGAAAAUCAAAAUAAAAAUUUUCAACCCAUAUGCGUGCAUAUGGCCGUCCAUAUUAGUUAAUUUAAUUUCCAUUUAAUUUGACUUGCCUGUAAUGACCUAUAAAGUUGGCUACCAGGAAUAUUAAUAGGUAAAGACAUGAGGCCAGAGAUAAAUUCUUGGAACUGUUUUUUGAGAAUCUCCAUUUGUUCACCUGGAUCCAAGUUAAUCAAUGCUUU